rnacentral:rRNA from 1 species
UACGGGGGGGGCAAGCGUUGUUCGGAAUUAUUGGGCGUAAAGAGCGUGUAGGCGGCCAUACAGGUCCGUUGUGAAAACUGGAGGCUUAACCUCCAGACGUCGAUGGAAACCGUAUGGCUAGAGUCCGGAAGAGGAGAGUGGAAUUCCUGGUGUAGCGGUGAAAUGCGCAGAUAUCAGGAAGAACACCCGUGGCGAAGGCGGCUCUCUGGGACGGUACUGACGCUGAGACGCGAAAGCGUGGGGAGCGAACAGG